rnacentral:rRNA from 1 species
AUUGAACGCUGGCGGCAUGCCUUACACAUGCAAGUCGAACGGCAGCACGGGAGCAAUCCUGGUGGCGAGUGGCGAACGGGUGAGUAAUAUAUCGGAACGUGCCCAGUCGUGGGGGAUAACGCAGCGAAAGCUGUGCUAAUACCGCAUACGAUCUACGGAUGAAAGCGGGGGAUCGCAAGACCUCGCGCGAUUGGAGCGCCCGAUAUCAGAUUAGCUAGUUGGUGAGGUAAAGGUUAACCAAGGCGACGAUCGGUAGCUGGUCUGAGAGGACGACGAGGCACACUGGAACUGAGAACCGGUCCAGACGCCUACGGGGGGCAGCAGUGGGGAAUUUUGCACAAAGGGCGCAAGCCUGAUCCAGCAAUGCCGCGUGCAGGAUGAAGGCCUUCGGGUUGUAAACUGCUUUUGGACGGAACGAAACGGCGAGCUCUAAUACAGUUUGCUAAUGACCGUACCGUAAGAAUAAGCACCGGCUAACUACGUGCCAGCCGCCGCAGUAACAC